AUGCGCUGGGCCACCAUAACAUUCUCUCUCCGCUUUCCGCCGUUUGAACCCUAUAUUUCGUUUUCCCGCCUCCACCUUUCAGUCUUGGGGCAACUAGUUUUGGGCACUAGUGACUUGAUUCAGCUUGAGUUCCCUUUGGAGUUUAGCCGUCCCACCUUCACUGCUUCGUCUCGGAGGUACGUACCACCCAACCUGUCGAUAGAACCCCCUGCAAAAGUGUCCACUCCAGGAGCCAAAGCAUGUGUGGAAUUAAACGUGCUUGCUAAUGUCCCUGAUGUCUCCAGUUCCUGCAUUAUGUCCAUACAUAUCUCUCCGGUUCUUAGAGAUACUUUUUUUGUGGUUGACACCAAUCAUAUGGACCUACAUAUAUGCCCAGUAAGAGAGUCACUAGUUAGAACUGUGGGUAUAGGAUUUUGUGAAGAUGGAGUGGUAUAUAUAAAGGGCGAGAUACAUGGAGAACAUUACUCACACAAGUGUGACAGUUUGGUGGAGUCUUCCUUCUCCACGAGAUAA
rnacentral:rRNA from 1 species